UAGGGAAUCUUCCACAAUGGACGCAAGUCUGAUGGAGCAACGCCGCGUGAGUGAAGAAGGUUUUCGGAUCGUAAAGCACUGUUGUUGGUGAAGAAGGAUAGAGGCAGUAACUGGUCUUUAUUUGACGGUAAUCAACCAGAAAGUCACGGCUAACUACGUGCCAGCAGCCGCGGUAAUACGUAGGUGGCAAGCGUUGUCCGGAUUUAUUGGGCGUAAAGCGAGCGCAGGCGGAAUGAUAAGUCUGAUGUGAAAGCCCACGGCUCAACCGGGGAACUGCAUCGGAAACUGUCAUUCUUGAGUGCAGAAGAGGAGAGUGGAAUUCCAUGUGUAGCGGUGGAAUGCGUAGAUAUAUGGAAGAACACCAGUGGCGAAGGCGGCUCUCUGGUCUGCAACUGACGCUGAGGCUCGAAAGCAUGGGUAGCGAACAGG
rnacentral:rRNA from 1 species